rnacentral:rRNA from 1 species
AUGGUUGCUCCUGCUAAUGCUUUAGUUCAUGAGGCACGUGAGUUGGAAGAUGAAGAAGCUGGAUCACAGCCACAACAACCUUAUGUUGGCAUGCGCUUCGACACAUUAGAGGAUGCGAGGGAACACUACAAUCGCUAUGCUUUGAUGGAGGGCUUUUCAAUCAAGUCAAAUACGUCUUACAGGUCGGCCUACACAGAUGUGGUGGAAAAACAGCAAUUCUGCUGUAACAAGUUCCGCAAACCAGUAGAGAGGGUUGGGAUCCCGGAUGUUCCCUCAUCGAGCAAAAACACUACAUAUCCAAGCUCACCUGAACAAGAUGUUGAAGAUGAUGUCGAGGAACACACUUUCAAGAAGAAGAGGAAACGGGAAACUGUGAAGCAAACAAAAUGCCGUGCUAAGAUGGUGGUGAAGCUUAAAGAUGACAGAUGGGAGGUUAUCACUUUUAUUGCAGAUCAUAACCAUCCACUAAUUGAGAAGCCAUCGCUUUCGAAAUACCUCCGUUCUCACCAAGGAAUCCCGCCGGAACAGAAAGAACUACUGACUCACCUAAAUGACUGCAACUUGACAGCAGGAAAAAUGAUGAUGUUAAUGUCAUCAUACUACGGUUCAGAGUUGAUUGUUCCGUACACAGCUAAAGCCAUCCAUAACCACUGUUCGAAGCUCAACGCCCCAACUAAAGACAUUGGCAUUGAAGAAACACUAAACUAA